rnacentral:rRNA from 1 species
UACAGAGGGUGCAAGCGUUAAUCGGAAUUACUGGGCGUAAAGCGCACGUAGGCGGUUUUUUAAGUCAGAUGUGAAAGCCCCGGGCUCAACCUGGGAAUUGCAUUUGAAACUGGAAAACUAGAGUGUGUGAGAGGGGGGUAGAAUUCCAAGUGUAGCGGUGAAAUGCGUAGAUAUUGCUCGGAAGGCCAGAGCCGAAGGGGCCCUACUGGUGCGCAACUGACACUGAGGCACGAAAGCGUGGGGAGCAAACAGGAUUAGAAACCCUGGUAGU